rnacentral:rRNA from 1 species
UACGUAGGGGGCAAGCGUUGUCCGGAAUUAUUGGGCGUAAAGAGCGCGUAGGCGGUCCGGUAAGUCAGCUGUGAAAGUCAAGGGCUCAACCCUUGAAAGCCGGUUGAUACUGUCGGGCUAGAGUCCGGAAGAGGCGAGUGGAAUUCCCGGUGUAGCGGUGAAAUGCGCAGAUAUCGGGAGGAACACCAAUGGCGAAGGCAGCUCGCUGGGACGGUACUGACGCUGAGGCGCGAAAGCGUGGGAGCAACAGG